ACCAAAUCUAGCCUUAAUCUCAUCUCAUCAUCGCACCAAUUCCUUCCCAAAAUCGCCGACACAACUCCUCUCCCUCGCGACACAACCCUCCCUCCUCUCCCUCGCCUCGCGCCGACACAACUCUCCCUCCUCUCCCUCACCUCGCAACGACGCUGACACAACUCUCCCUCGCCCUCGGUAGAACCUCUCCCUCGCCUCGCAACAGCGCCGACAGAACCUCUCCUUGGCCUCGGCAGAACCUCUCCCGCACCUCGCAACGGUGUCGACAGACCUCUCCCUCGCCUCGACGCAACGGUGCACCUGAUAUAUGACAAACGGGAACAUCCUCGACAAUCUUUGCUCCAACAGAAUUUAGGCGACUUCCAGGCUGCUUCUUUGACAGUUGUUUUUGAAGGAACAACAGUAAGCAUGGAAGAAGUAUGCAGUCUGCACCUGCCUCCGCCAUGGAAAGUUCAAGGCAGUGCUCUUUACUACGGGCUAGGAAUGAUUAGUGGAUACUUCCUCUGUGACCUCAUGACUAUUGUUUCUGGAGGUUAUUUUUACAUUUUUGAUCCUCUUGGCUUGGCUUUAUCUGCACACUCAAAUGGUGCCCCUUCUGCAAGUAUUUUCUCUAAUAGUGUUAGUUUCCUGGCCAUGGUGCUCCAGAUUUUGAAAAGGUGGUGCAGGAUCAUGUAUAUGAUUCUGAUAUUUUGCAAAGUGAAAGAGAAGAUGCUGCUUUUGAUGCCAUUGCUUCCUCACUAGGAGCUCCUUUGCAGGGAGGUUAGCAGCCCGUGCAUGCAUCAAGUCAGAAAACGCAUUGUAUAGAAAAUGUAUUGUAUAGCAUAUGCAUACUGCUAUGUUUCUCGUGUUGGAUGUAUUUGCAACAAUGAUCCAAUAUGCAGAAAGUCGAAUACCUGAAAAAUCUAAUAUGAUUUUCUCUAGUAUUAAUCAGUAUAAUUUACUUGUCUUA